UACGUAGGGGGCAAGCGUUGUUCGGAAUUACUGGGCGUAAAGGGCGCGUAGGCGGCAUGGCAAGUCGGGAGUGAAAUGCCUGGGCUCAACCGAGGAACUGCUUUCGAGACUGCCAAGCUAGAGUGCGGAAGGGGCAUCUGGAAUUCCCAGUGUAGCGGUGAAAUGCGUAGAUAUUGGGAAGAACACCUGAGGCGAAGGCGGGAUGCUGGGCCGACACUGACGCUGAAGCGCGAAAGCCAGGGGAGCAAACGGG
rnacentral:rRNA from 1 species